CAGACCAGCCUAAAAAUGUAUGUUUUAUAACUUUUUGUCAUUUUAACAACAAACAGAGCAGUAUUAAGAAUAUCAAACAUUGAGGGAACAGUUGGUCAUUUCUAAUUAUUGUCUGUGGUGGGAGUAGGAGCAAAUCAUCUACCUCCACUGAUGGACAUUCACAUGCAGCUGUGUAUUCUGAGUACACACUGCUAAAUUAAACUCUCUAAGAGUAAGACACAAAACAUAUAUAAUCCUAUAUCUGUCCUAUAUCAUUUACAGUCCUGCCAAAACCUCAAGUAAGCUACAAGACCACAUCUCCAGGAGUGAUCGAGGCUAACUGUACUGCCGUGGCCCGGCUACAGGCUGAAAUUGUGUGGAAUGUGGAGGGGGAUAACCGGACCAUUGGUCCACCUGUGACCACUGCUAUCCAGCAGAGUGACGGGACGACUCUGGUCAUCAGCACCUUGACCAUCCAGGCUGGACUCCUGGAGGAUGUCUCUGUCAAAUGUCUCUGUCAAAUGUCUUGUUCAUCAGACUGAAAACUGCCAUUGCUGUUUCCAUGAACUCUAAAAAGCCUGAAGAGCAUCAGGUACCGAGAAGACAGAGAGAGACAGACAAUUGAAUGUGGACAUUCACACAGCAGAUGAAAGGAUGUAAGUCCAGUGAGGUAGACUGAACACACAGUUGUUUUUCACUCUAGACUUUGGAUACUUUUAGGAAAUUAAAUAUCUUUUAGCGCAAUCUUUUUUAAUGUUUAAUGAUUAGGCCGACUGAACUAGAGAUAUAGAGACUAAGUAGAACUAUUUAAUUUAAGUUCUUCAGUCUCUGAGCCUAAAGCAAUGGUGGGAAAAGAGGUUGUGACCAGCUUGUCAAAGCAUUCGCUAUAUCAGUGGAAAUGCAUGAUCUGCAGUCUGGAGUGCAAUUAAAUUGCUGACAAAUAGUGUGGAUCAGCUGGUUUAAUUACUGGAAAAUCCUGUUGUUUUGAUCUUUGUAUUAAUACACAUGUGCAAGCCAGUGUAAUGAUAAGAACUGAUAAAAAGUGAAAGGUUUUAUUUUGUCCUGUGUGUGUUAAAUGUUUUGUCAUAUUUCUGAGGAUGUGAGAGUAUAGGCCACACUCAAAAUGAAUAAAUUCACUCUAAAUUCUUUCUAUUCAGUAACAUAAUGUACAUAAUGUGAA